AGAGCGAACGCUGGCGGCAGGCCUAACACAUGCAAGUCGAGCGCCCCGCAAGGGGAGCGGCAGACGGGAGAGUAACACGUGGGAACGUACCCUUCAGUUCGGAACAACCCAGGGAAACUUGGGCUAAUACCGAAUACGUCCGUAAGGAGAAAGAUUUAUCGCUGAAGGAUCGGCCCGCGUCUGAUUAGCUAGUUGGUGAGGUAAUGGCUCACCAAGGCGACGAUCGGUAGCUGGUCUGAGAGGAUGACCAGCCUCACUGGGACUGAGACACGGCCCAGACUCCUACGGGAGGCAGCAGUGGGGAAUAUUGGACAAUGGGCGCAAGCCUGAUCCAGCCAUGCCGCGUGGAUGAUGAAGGCCUUAGGGUUGUAAAGUCCUUUUAACGGGGAAGAUAAUGACGGUACCGUAGAAUAGGCCCCGGCUAACUUCGUGCCAGCAGCCGC
rnacentral:rRNA from 1 species